rnacentral:rRNA from 1 species
UACGAAGGGUGCAAGCGUUACUCGGAAUUACUGGGCGUAAAGCGUGCGUAGGUGGUUUGUUAAGUCUGUUGUGAAAGCCCCGGGCUCAACCUGGGAAUGGCAAUGGAUACUGGCAGGCUAGAGUGCGGUAGAGGGUAGUGGAAUUCCCGGUGUAGCGGUGAAAUGCGUAGAGAUCGGGAGGAACACCUGUGGCGAAAGCGGCUCACUGGACCACAACUGACGCUGAGGCGCGAAAGCUAGGGGAGCAAACAGG